rnacentral:rRNA from 1 species
AUGGCUCAGAUUGAACGCUGGCGGCAGGCCUAACACAUGCAAGUCGAGCGGCAGCGACAACAUUGAACCUUCGGGG